rnacentral:tRNA from 1 species
UUUGAUGCCUGAGUACUUUUAUUCUUAGGCCGAAAUCCUGUCACCUUAGGUCGAUCGGUACCUCAGCGUUGAAGCAACAGAGUUAACAGAGAUGUUGAUGCGUGUUGUGGAGAUGAUCAGUUCCUAAACUUUGUCUAGGUCACACCCCACAAGGGUUGAGUUUUCCUGGGCCAUUAGCUCAGGUGGUUAGAGCGCACCCCUGAUAAGGGUGAGGUCCCUGGUUCAAGUCCAGGAUGGCCCAUUCGGUGUUGGGGGUUUAGCUCAGUUGGUAGAGCGCCUGCUUUGCAAGCAGGAUGUCAGGAGUUCGAGUCUCCUAACCUCCACUGACCGAACUCAAUCUCCGGUUUUGCAUUGAGAGAUGGAGAACCACUCGAUUGUGAAGUGUGAUUUAGAUGUGUCCGCUGGAUGACCCCAGCUUCCUGUCAUUCCAAAUGAACAAGUCGAUUUUAAUUGUCUUGUGAAUUGGUUGAUAAGAUGCUGGGCUCGAAUCAAAUGAUCAAGCAAUUGAUGGUUUGAUUUGAAGUCUGGCAGAACCUUGACAACUGCAUAGGUGAGUCUGGAUAAAACAAAGCAUCUUACAGAUGCAUUGUUUUGAAUUUUAUCUUCUGAAAGGGAGAUAAAAUCCAGGACAAUGAAAAUUCUUUUGAGCAAGAGCCGAGACUCUUGAGCG